UGAGCUCCCGGAGCUAGGCUCCGUAGGAGUAGUUCCCUGGAGUCUUCAGACGCUCUCCGAGUUUGGUAUGGUCAUCCCUUAUUGUUAUUAGUUCAAAGUGAAUAAUUGUCUAGAUUUAAGGUCAUCACUACUUGUAUUGAUUUAUGUUCAUGUGACACAAUACAAAGCCAGUGCGACAAUAUGCAGUCCUUUCGCACAACGAACAGGGUGAAACUCCACUUCUAGUGGCCAUCCGCGGCAUGUGUGGGGCGAGGAACAGGAAGAUUCAGAAAUGAGUAACAUUUUCAGCGGUAGCUACACUUACUAAUUUACUAUGUUAUCCGACAGUUUCUCGAUGCUGAAACGAGAGAUAACACGGAGAAGAAUUUUCGUAUGCUAACGUGAUGGUGGCAGCUAAACUUGUCUUUUCACGGCCGAAAAUUUUCCUUUGGAAAAACCAUUGGAAAAUAUCAACACGGAUGCUGCGCGGAUUGUGCUGGAUUUAGGAGAACAUAUUGAUCCCGCUAACAGAUUCGUUUUACCACCAUAGUGCCCGGAUCCUACGUCAGAAUCAGACAUCUGAGCGCUUUCAUCUGCAGAGUGUCGUUCGCAAACGUUGAAUUUUGUUUAGGCAUUGCUGAAUAAAUUUUGAGAAAAUUGGGCGCAUAGAAAACAAAACUGAAAUUAAAGUUGCUUCAACGAUUUCGGCUAAUUAUUGUAUUGAACAAAAAUGAAAAUACAAAAGUUAAGAUUUCCCAUUGAA